CGCAAGGUCGAACGGCUUUUCUAUGGAAGCUUGCUUCCACUGAAAAGAUAGUGGGCGAACGGGUGAGUAACACGUGGGUAAACCCUGCCCAUAAGAGGGGGGAUAACAUCCGGAAACGGGUGCUAAUACCGCAUAGUUUCUUGAUCGCAUGAUCGGGAAAGGAAAGACGGCCUUUGUGCUGUCGCUUAUGGAUGGACCCGCGGCGUAUUAGUUAGUUGGUGAGGUAACGGCUCACCAAGACGAUGAUACGUAGCCGACCUGAGAGGGUGAUCGGCCACAUUGGGACUGAGACACGGCCCAAACUCCUACGGGAGGCAGCAGUAGGGAAUCUUCCGCAAUGGACGAAAGUCUGACGGAGCAACGCCGCGUGAGUGAAGAAAAGGUUUUCGGAUCGUAAAACUCUGUUGUCAGAGAAGAACAAGUCGGAGAGUAACUGCUCCAGCCUUGACGGUAUCUGACCAGAAAGCCACGGCUAACUACGUGCCAGCAGCGGC
rnacentral:rRNA from 1 species